UACGUAGGGUGCAAGCGUUAAUCGGAAUUACUGGGCGUAAAGCGUGCGCAGGCGGUUGUGCAAGGCAGGGGUGAAAUCCCCGGGCUUAACCUGGGAACUGCACUUGUGACUGCACGGCUAGAGUACGGCAGAGGGGGAUGGAAUUCCGCGUGUAGCAGUGAAAUGCGUAGAUAUGCGGAGGAACACCGAUGGCGAAGGCAGUCCCCUGGGCCUGUACUGACGCUCAUGCACGAAAGCGUGGGGAGCAAACAGG
rnacentral:rRNA from 1 species